CUAAGCCAGGGACCCAAAGCUCAGACGCUUACAACAAAAGGAUCUCUACAGAAGCAGUAUUCAGGGAGAUAAAUUACACAUUCUGUUUGUUAGGCCACAAGGUUUGGGGGUGACUUAAGGGGAAGAAACCAGGGACUGCUCCAGGGAGGAUGCUAGUGAAGCACCCUUCAGUUUGUGGGUGGUUCCAAAGCCCCAGCAUAGUGAGGUGAGGCUGGGGACACGGGAGAGGAAGACCAGUGACUCAUGCCAGCAUCUUGAUGUCAGGCUUGGAGCCUGGCAUGUACAGCACAGGAUGCAGCCUGGAGCACUGAAACGGAGACUACUACCCAGAGAAGAGCCUAGAAGCCGAGCAUGUGCUCCAAAGAGUAGCUUGUUGGCAGCAGGCGAGAGCAAGAGAGGCAGGCAGCCUGACUGGCAUAGGUGUGUGCAAGGACCUGAAGGGAUAUGGAAUAAGAGUCAAGAGAGGAUUAACCCUCAUGAGACUCUGCAAUUGACAGCUGGGUGAGGACCAUCACAGGACAGAUUUGUGGUUUGCCAUGCAGAGAUGGGUUACUUGGAGCCAUACUAAAGGUACCAAAAAGGACACUAUACACUAGAAACAAGUCCAUCAAGAGCAGAAAGGUGUUAAUGAAAUCCAGAGGAUACAAGACUCAGAGGCUUCUGAAAAGAAAAACUGAACUGGGAUCUGAACUAGGGCUGUCCUGUGCUGGAAGAUGUAAAGAAGCCACUUGUAGGUGAAAAGUAGGUAAGUAAUAAAGCAAGAAUUUGUUAACCAAGCCAGAUCAACAAGGUCUUUGGAGUAACUGAGCAGAACAAGGGGUGACAAGUCAAAAGCUUAGCCGUGGUGGCAGCAGUUAGAGCUCAGAACACUAGAACUCCAGAUUACUUUCUCUCUCAGCUUGCUAGGGGGGAAAAGAAGUUUGACUCUGUGUGGUAGGUGGGUAAAAUGGAAAUAUCCUGGACUAUUAACUACUGGAUGUCUGAAGGUUCCUUCUCCAGCAAAGACACUGGCUAUUUCAAACAUCAGUGAUGCUUGUGGGCAAGGGAAAGAAGUGACAAUGUGGAAGCCAACAGGGCAAAGAUUAACCUAUAAUGACACAGAUUUACAAUGUCCUCAUCUCUUUGGUCUGUGGGUACAGGGGCUCUUAUCUUAGAGAAAUAAAUGGACUCUGGGUAUGCCAUAUAGCACAGUGCAGUGCUGUGCACAAAGACCCCAGUCCAUCUAGGUAUUGGCUCACAUACCAGUCUACACAGCACAGGGCAGUCCCAAGCAGACAUACGUGAUUCUCUGCAUGCAUUAGCUCCAGAACUAGAUGCAGUAUAGCCAUAUCAGCCUGGAUGCAGUAUCAUACUAGUUUGCCCUGCUUCUCUUCAGAGCCAACUGACCCACAAGCAACCCUACACCAAUUAUACAGCUACUGGUAUCUGAGCUAUCUCUCUGCACAGGGCUACUUUGCACCACAAAGGCUUACCCUACAAGUCUCUGUGAUCGGGUGAGAAUCCUGGCUCUUCCAGCCCAAAGAUGGAAAAAGUAACUACUACCUUAAUGAGGUAAUGGCUGGCUCUAAACCAGAGGUGGGUAAAAUGUGGCCAGGGGGCCAGACGCAGCCCGCCAGGCCAUUCUAUCCGGCCCAUGGGGCCCCUAAAAAAUUUAGAAAAUUAAUAUUAAUCUGCCCUGGGCUGCCUGUCGUGCGGCCCUUGAUGGCUUGCCGAAACUCAGUAAGUGGCCCUCUGCCCAAAAUAAUUGCCCGCCCCUGCUCUAAACAGCCCGGUGUGCUGUUUUCAGUACUGACAUCUGGUCCAAGGCCUGAGGUCAUUAGAUUAGAAGUGAACUGUAAAAGUCCUAAAGAAGCAAGUUAGGAGGUAAGGAGACAAGUUUUGCAUUUGUGCUUUUUUCAAUAUACUAGCCAGCUGCCCAUCAAGAAUAAUGGGGGCGGAG